UGAAGCCGCUUCGGUGGUGGAUUAGUGGCGAACGGGUGAGUAACACGUGGGCAAUCUGCCCUGCACUCUGGGACAAGCCCUGGAAACGGGGUCUAAUACCGGAUAUGAUCACCGGCCGCAUGGUCUGGUGGUGGAAAGCUCCGGCGGUGCAGGAUGAGCCCGCGGCCUAUCAGCUUGUUGGUGGGGUGAUGGCCUACCAAGGCGACGACGGGUAGCCGGCCUGAGAGGGCGACCGGCCACACUGGGACUGAGACACGGCCCAGACUCCUACGGGAGGCAGCAGUGGGGAAUAUUGCACAAUGGGCGCAAGCCUGAUGCAGCGACGCCGCGUGAGGGAUGACGGCCUUCGGGUUGUAAACCUCUUUCAGCAGGGAAGAAGCGCAAGUGACGGUACCUGCAGAAGAAGCACCGGCUAACUACGUGCCAGCAGCCGCGGUAAUACGUAGGGUGCGAGCGUUGUCCGGAAUUAUUGGGCGUAAAGAGCUCGUAGGCGGCCUGUCACGUCGGAUGUGAAAGCCCGGGGCUUAACCCCGGGUCUGCAUUCGAUACGGGCAGGCUAGAGUUCGGUAGGGGAGAUCGGAAUUCCUGGUGUAGCGGUGAAAUGCGCAGAUAUCAGGAGGAACACCGGUGGCGAAGGCGGAUCUCUGGGCCGAUACUGACGCUGAGGAGCGAAAGCGUGGGGAGCGAACAGGAUUAGAUACCCUGGUAGUCCACGCCGUAAACGUUGGGAACUAGGUGUGGGCGACAUUCCACGUCGUCCGUGCCGCAGCUAACGCAUU
rnacentral:rRNA from 1 species